rnacentral:lncRNA from 1 species
CCUUGGCAACCACAAGUCUAUUCUCUGUGUCUGUGAGUCUGUUUCUGUUUCAUAGAUAGGUUUGUUUGUGCCAUAUUCCAGAUUUCAUAUAUAAGUGAUAUCAUAUAGUAUUUGUCCUUCUCUUUCUUUCUUNCUUCUCGUUCUUUCUUUCUUUUUUAUUUUUUUCUUUGUCUUUUCUAAGGCCAUAUCCGCGGCACAUGGAGGUUCCCAGGCUAGGGGUCCAAUCGGAGCUGUAGCCGCUGGCCAACACCACAGCCACAGCAACGCAGAAUGCGAGCUGCAUCUGCAACCUACACCAUAGCUCAUGGCAGUGCCGGAUCCUUAACCCACUGAGCAAGACCAGGGAUUGAACCAAGAACCUCAAGGUUCCUAGUCGGAUUCAUUAACCACUGAGCCACGAUGGGAAAUCCUGUCUUUCUCUUUCUGACUUACUUCACUUAGUAUGAGAAUCUCUAGUUGCAUCCAUGUUGCUACAAAUGGCAUUAUUUUGUUCUUUUUAUGGCUGAAUAGUACUCCAUUGUGUAUAUGUACCACAUCUUCUUAAUUCAUUCAUCUGUCAAUGGACAUUUAGGUUGUUUCCAUGUCUUGGCUCUUAUGAAUAGUAACAGCUAGUCAAUUCUCCCUCUUGCUCAUUCAUUCAUUCACUCAUCUAGAAACAAAGGAUCUGAACUAUGGGAAGACAAAGACAGCCAUUAGGGGCCUUAUUUUAUCAGUGCCUCAAAAGAGAAAAGAGGAGGGCUUACAGAUUGCUAGCAGAGCUCCGAAGUUUCCGGACCUGGUACCUUGGAUCUGCUGGUAAGAGGCUUGAUCCUAAAUGGUGCCCUCCUACCUUGCCCAAGGGGAAUUUGGUCUGAGCAGCUCAAAGGUUUAACUGAAUUAAACUGAGAUAGCAGCUCCAUUCUCCAGAGAACCUAACAUGAUAGCUGCCAGGCAUGGCUGGGGAGAGAGUCUGUUUUAACCAUCUCUUAUUCACCUUGUUGGUAUGGGUGAGAUUCCUGCUCUAGGGUGUCAGGGAUGGCCAAAUAACCACCCGGCACUGAAUAUUUAUGGUUGACAGAUUGAUGGUGUAUACUCAGAGCCUGGGCGAAGAGAACACUGUGUGUCACCCAAGGCCAGGCAUUGCGCUCCAAAACACAGAGGAAAACCAGGGUCUGUGGGAGGCAGGCUUUGUAGUAUCACAUGGGUGGGAUGACCAUGUGAUUGGCUUGUUUGAAUAAUUCCAUGACCUGGCAGGAAACCGAAACCUACUACCUGAGGGGUAGGCACCUGGUCCCCUUGAUAAAGGAGGGUUGUUUGAUAAGAAGACUUUAACUUCAGAAGCAGAGGGGGUAAAGAAACUUGCAGUUGGGUCAUCCAAGGCCCCUCAGUUUCAUCAAUCAAGGCAGCCCAUCAAACCAUGCCUUAAUUCUGGGCUUUACCCCACAGAAGACUCCCCAUAGGUCACAACCUCAGCAGCCACAAAACCUACCUAGUCGGCAACCUCAGCUCAGGAUCUCAACCCAGAGAUUCCAGAAUCUCAGAACCCAACUCAUUAGUGCUCAGUGGUGCUCAAAGUGGGCUCAGAGCUGAGCAUCAGCCAGAGGGGGGCAUCAGCCAGAGGGGGGCAAGUGAUGGAGACACCCCGUUACUUGCACCUUCCUGACUGCCUCUCUCCUCCCUGUAAAUCACCCUGCCUCAGCGAGGUCAAAAAUCCCCACCCCUGGCUAUUUAAAUCCCUCACUUUCCUUCAUAUCGCCUACAUUUGACACAAACAGACAUUAAUACAUCUGCCCUUUGCUCUUGUAAGAAAACAGGCUCUGUAACCAAGACAACUAGUUAUGGCCUAUAGCACUGAACACAGAAGGCAGCAGCCUGUCAGUGAUAAGGGUCCAUCCUGGGACCCUCACUUCUAGACCCCUACCUCCUGUCCUUCUGUCUUGUUUGCACCCGGUGACCUAGCUCAGCCAAUCGAGGGCUGUGCUUGCUUUUUGCUCUGGCCUUUCUCAACUUCUACAAUCAAUUCCUGUCUUGAGACACCAUCCUGCUGAAUUCACAGGAAGAGGUGAACUUUGUUCUGCUCUGAAUAUGGUUCAGGCAUUCAGCUAAUAAUGAGUUUCAGGAUCCUGUACCCUGCAGAAAGGACCCCCAUGAAGGCACAUAAGACCCUGUGUGGCUACGCUGCUGGGGUGGGGACUUCCAGCCACCAGUGCUUGAAACCCACCUCAGCUACCCACUUCUACCUUCAUUCGGGAGAUCAGGCCCCACCCAGACCCUCAGGCCACUGUCCAGUGUGAUGAGGAGUGAGGUCUGGGCACUAUCACCUCACCCCUAGGACCCCAAGCACCUAGAAGUAUUCCUAGAGUAUGACCAGAUCCGUGCUGUUUACCAGAACAUCCCUGCCAGUAGCCUUAUUAAAUCCAUUUUCCCUCCAUUAGAAACUAGAAAGUGAGUCACAGCUGCCACUUUGGGAACCAGGGACAAUAAGCCCACAGUCCAGAUAGGGGAUGAGAGAAUCCACGAGCAAGACAGACACUAAAAUUAGGAUUCUGCUUCCUGGAGAAGCACAGAAUGCUAUCAGAUCUUUGCCCUGAUUUAUCCAGUGGGAGCCCUGCUGGGAAAUUUGAGCAUGCUUUUGGUUUGGGAUUUUUUUUUUUUUUUUUUUUUUUCCUCCUUUAGCCAGAAGUCACUUUAUCCUUGGCUUGGGGGAAAUGGAGGUUGUGUAGGGAGCAAAGGAGGAGAGGCCUGGGAGGUUCUCAUGGCCAGGGCUGCCACGGUCUGGGUAGCUGAAACAACAGAAAUGUAUUUUCUCCUUUCUGGAGACUAGAAGUCUGAGGUUGAGUCUCAGCAGCCGUGAUUUCUCCUGAGGCCUCUGUCUUGCUUGUAGGCGGUCGUCCUCUCCCUAUAUCCUCGCAUCGUCUUCCCUCUGUGCUCGUGCGUAUCUGUGUCCUGAUUUCUUUUUUUUUCCUUUUCUUUCAUUUUCUUCCUUUUUUUAGGGCUGCAUUCGCGGCAUAUGGAAGUUCCCAGGCUAGGGGUUGAAUCAAAGCAGCUGCUGAAGCCUACACCACACCCACAGCAACACCAGAUCCAAGCGACCUACAACACAACUUACGGCAACUCCAGAUCCUUAACCCACUGAGCAAGGCCAGGGGUCGAACCUGCGUCCUCACAGACGCUAAGUCAUGUUCUUAACCUGCUGAGCCACAACAGGAACUCCCUGAUCUCUUCUUACGACACAGUCCUACUGAAUUAGGGUGCACCCAUAUGACCUCACUUUACCUUAAUCACCUCUUUGAAGAUGCCAUCUCCAAACCCAGUCACACUCUGAGGUCCUGGGGUCUAGGACUUCAACAUAUAAACUUUGGGUGGGAGAAAUCCAAUUCAGCCCAUACCAGACCCACUGCCUUGCAGUGAGGGAGGGUCUUGAGGGUUGGCAAGCUCAGUGUGCCUCUAGGGCGAGGCUUUAUUUCAUAGGCGAUCAAUUAGCCCUACUUUAGGAGGAGAGAGUCAGAAGAGGGCUUCUAUGUGAGAUAGCCUCAGGAAGGCAGGGGAAUAUCCUAUGAUAAAUCAGAAUGGAAAAGGAUGUUUUAAAAAAGAAGGUAAAAAAGAAGGUAUGUCUAUGUAUAACUGAAUCAAUUCCUGUGCAGCAGAAAUGAACACAACACUGUAAGUCAAUUAUACUUCAAUUAAUUUUUUUAAGAUUUUUUUAAAGAAAGAGGGAGCAGCACUCCUGAGAAGGAAUCCAGGGAGAGGGGAAGAGAAGGGGACACUGGAUGGAGGAGGGAGGAGAUCCGGCCACCAGGUUUGAACAUGGAUGUGAAUAAUUUCCUCGUGCCUAGGGAGGAUGGGUGGACUGUGAAGGCACUUACAAGAUAAUAGGGGACAUUCAGCUUUAAGAAGGGACUGGAUCUUUGCCUGCAGACGGGUAGCCAGUGUGCCCCAGAGGCUAGAACCAGGACCUGUGGGUAUAAACCAAAGAGGGGCACGUUUCAACUGCAGGAAAAUCAGAACAUUCUAGGCAUUGAAAUAUUCAACCUUGGGGUAAUCUGCUAUGACAGGUAGUGAGCACCCUUCACUCAGAACAUUUCAUUCAAGCUGGGAGAUGAUCAUGGUGCUUGGAGAAUAGUUCCUGCAAUUCUUAAAUUUUGUGAUGGAUCAAAUAAGAGGGUUGGACUAAAUAAUUUAACUCAAAGCCUCCCCUUGUGGUCCUGUAGCCUUCCCUAACUCUUACCAGCCUCUGUCUUUCAGACUAGAUGAAUUGUAAGGAGAGCAGCUAAUGACACAUAAUUCUGGCGUGGAAUUCAUAAUGUCCACCCCAAAUGUCCGAGCUGCCAUAUAUUUAUAGUAGCUACCACUAUACACGAAUGGAUCUUCAUAAGCACGCACGCACACACACACACACACACACACACACAUCAGAGCAAAAGGAUAGUUUAUCUAAAAAUUGUUAAAGAACCUCUGAACUCUGUCAAGAAACUAAGCUUUUAGUUUAGAAAAUUUAGCUCUGCAUCUCUUGGGUCAAGAAUUCGACAUUGUUCCAGAAAGAUGUGGUAGGAAGAAUAAUGAUUCCUGCCACCUCCACGACCCCAAAUGAAUUCCAAAUCCCAAUCCCUAGCACUCAAGAACGUGGUUUUGUUCUAUUUCGGUGAAAUUCACAUAACAUAAAAUUAAUUGUUUAAGGAGUUCUCCUGGGGCACAGUGGGUUAAGGAUCCCGUGUAGUCUCUGCUAUGGCUCAGGUUGCUGCUAUGGCAUGUGUUCGAUCCUGUGAAGGUUCCUGGCCUGGGAAACUUCACAUGCCACAGGCUUGGCCAAAAAAAAAAAAAAAAAGAAAGAAAGAAAGAAAAAAGAAAAACUUGGAGUUCCCAUUGUGGUUCAGUGGUAAUGAACAACUAGUAUCCAUGAGGAUGUGGGUUCAAUGCCUGACCUCACUCAGUGGGUUAAGGAGCCAGUGUUGCUGUGAGCUGUGGUGCAGGCCAGCAGCUGCAGCUCCAAUUUGACCCCUAGCCUGGGAACUUCUAUAUGCCA